UGUAGUGUUGGAUAUUCCGGAGGAUCCAAAGAUGCCUUCGCUGUUAGGGAGACCUUUCCUUGCCACAUGUGGAGCAAAGCUAGAUAUGCAAAGGGGGACGAUGACAUUGGGAGCCUAUGGGGAAACUGUGAUUUUCAAGAAACCUCCACCAAAGGAAGUUCCCCAGAAUGAAGUGAUAAAUUUGGCUGACAGUUUUCUAGCAAAUUCGGAGAAUGAAGAGGUUGAGAA
rnacentral:lncRNA from 1 species